UGCAGUCGAGCGGACAGAUGGGAGCUUGCUCCCUGAUGUUAGCGGCGGACGGGUGAGUAACACGUGGGUAACCUGCCUGUAAGACUGGGAUAACUCCGGGAAACCGGGGCUAAUACCGGAUGGUUGUUUGAACCGCAUGGUUCAAACAUAAAAGGUGGCUUCGGCUACCACUUACAGAUGGACCCGCGGCGCAUUAGCUAGUUGGUGAGGUAACGGCUCACCAAGGCAACGAUGCGUAGCCGACCUGAGAGGGUGAUCGGCCACACUGGGACUGAGACACGGCCCAGACUCCUACGGGAGGCAGCAGUAGGGAAUCUUCCGCAAUGGACGAAAGUCUGACGGAGCAACGCCGCGUGAGUGAUGAAGGUUUUCGGAUCGUAAAGCUCUGUUGUUAGGGAAGAACAAGUACCGUUCGAAUAGGGCGGUACCUUGACGGUACCUAACCAGAAAGCCACGGCUAACUACGUGCCAGCAGCCGCGGUAAUACGUAGGUGGCAAGCGUUGUCCGGAAUUAUUGGGCGUAAAGGGCUCGCAGGCGGUUUCUUAAGUCUGAUGUGAAAGCCCCCGGCUCAACCGGGGAGGGUCAUUGGAAACUGGGGAACUUGAGUGCAGAAGAGGAGAGUGGAAUUCCACGUGUAGCGGUGAAAUGCGUAGAGAUGUGGAGGAACACCAGUGGCGAAAGCGACUCUCUGGUCUGUAACUGACGCUGAGGAGCGAAAGCGUGGGA
rnacentral:rRNA from 2 species